GAGGGUAUAGCUCAGUGGUUAGAGCACAUGCUUAGCGUGCACAAGGAACUAGGUUCAAUCCCCAGUACCUCCA
rnacentral:tRNA from 1 species